GAAAAUUCUGUCAUCAUUUACUCAACUUCAAGUUGUUCCAGACCUCUAUGAAUUUCUUUAUUCUGCUGAACAUAAAAUAAUAUAUUUUGAAAAUUAUAGGUAGUCUUUUUUCAAUAAUAUGGAAGUCAUCAACUGUUUAGUUACCCAUUCUUUAAAAUAUCUUAUUUUGUGUUCAACAGAAGAAAGAAACUCAUACAGGUUUGGAACAACUUGGGUGCGUAAAUGACAGAAUUUAAUUUUUUUUGGGUGAACUAUCCCUUUAAGAACAAUGUUGUGCAUUUCCUUUUAACACUUAGCCUACUUAAUCCUCUUUAUCCUAUGUAAGAAAAAUUUACUUCUAAAUUGUAACAUAUUUUUAGAAAUAAGUUUAGCAUAUAGCACAGUAUUAUUAAAAUGAUGGCUUCUUGCCACCUUUGAUAUAAUUCUUUUUUUAAAGUGUCAUUAAUGUAAAAUAAAACAAUAGUGACACUUUUACUCACAGAGUAAAUGAAUCACGGCUGACCGUAAAUAGCACGUUUGGUAUUUGUAAAUGAAAAGUUUUGCCUUUUUGUAACGCUGCAUCCUCGCCACUAGAUGUCCGUAUAAAUCCAUCGACCAACGUGACUUCCACAAAAUAUACUGACUGACUGACUGACUACCUGACUACCUGCACUCUUGUGUUUAUCGUUAUUGUGUAAUAUUAAUUUAGCUGGAACUAGAAGCAGGUGUGAUUUGAGCUUGAAGACAUUUUUUUUAGUUUAACUCUUGGGUUUUAAAUGCUUUAAAAUAAAAAAGUGUUUCAGGAAGAUCUUUCUGAACGCAGCACUGAUCAUGACGCAUUAUUUUUGUACGAGCUCUCGACUGCAGGUGUUUUCUACAGCAGACCCUGACAAGCAUCUGGUUUGUGUGGCUUGAGCAAGGCACUUAACCUCAGUCUGCACCAGGAGGACUAACCCUGCCGUAAAUGCACUGGCACAACCUCAAUCUCUGGGGACAACAGCUGGCAAACAGAAGGGAAAAUCACCAGAGUCCAGAAACACACAAUUUAUCUUGCUAAGCCAACAUUUUGAUUAGAGAUUUAUGAUAUAAAGUGCCAUUUUAUGC